rnacentral:rRNA from 1 species
AACGAACGCUGGCGGCGCGCCUAAUACAUGCAAGUCGAGCGAGAAGACGUAGCAAUACGUUUGUAAAGCGGCGAACGGGUGAGGAAUACAUGGGUAACCUACCCUCGAGUGGGGAAUAACUAGCCGAAAGGUUAGCUAAUACCGCGUACGCUCCUUGGACUUCGGUUCAGGGAGGAAAGCGAUACCGUGGGUAUCGCGCUCUUGGAUGGGCUCAUGUCCUAUCAGCUUGUUGGGAGGUAACGGCUCACCAAGGCUUCGACGGGUAGCUGGUCUGAGAGGACGAUCAGCCACACUGGCACUGCGACACGGGCCAGACUCCUACGGGAGGCAGCAGUAAGGAUAUUGCGCAAUGGGCGAAAGCCUGACGCAGCGACGCCG